CAACAGAACUCUAUGCCCAGUUGAAACUCAAAGUGGUCAAAAGAGAGCCGCUCUGUAUAGCUGGGGAAUGGAGACCCCAGUGACCAACAGGAGAGCGCCCUCCCAGUCCCACGAGACCUUAGCGCUCAGAGGAGCCCAGUGAGAGCACUCCUCCAGGCAGUUUGAAUCUCUCAGGUUGUCAAAGAAAAGGAUUUGCACUUAGACCCUUCAUAUUAUCCCUAAAUUUAUCCUUCCCUCUUUCCCCUCCCCUCAGGGAAAGCUCUGAAAAACUUAAGGAGCACUAUAGCCAAGACGAGUCCUUGAGCAGAGAACUGAUGACCAAGGUCAAACACCAAGGGUAGAGGUCAUCAAGAGAUCAAGUCUAAUCUACCUACGGGUGUGGCAGGCUUAACUAUGGAUGUUCAAGCCAGACAUUGCCAGAAGAACUACAUCUCUUCACCCAUAGAAGAUACAGCCUACAGCUGAAGAGAAACAGAUACGACACCAAUAUCUUAUCCUCUCUGAAGCCAAACUGAGAGCCCCUGGAGUCAGAAGUUUCCAAGAAAAGAAAAAGUCAUCCGUCUUCGGAAAAGAGACAGUAGAG